UCUUUAAUGGAGAGUUUGAUCCUGGCUCAGGACGAACGCUGGCGGCGUGCCUAAUACAUGCAAGUCGAGCGGGGUUAGUUAGAAGCUUGCUUCUAACUAACCUAGCGGCGGACGGGUGAGUAACACGUAGGCAACCUGCCCACAAGACAGGGAUAACUACCGGAAACGGUAGCUAAUACCCGAUACAUCCUUUUCCUGCAUGGGCGAAGGAGGAAAGACGGAGCAAUCUGUCACUUGUGGAUGGGCCUGCGGCGCAUUAGCUAGUUGGUGGGGUAAAGGCCUACCAAGGCGACGA
rnacentral:rRNA from 1 species